GAUUUCUGGCCUGAAACAUUUUGCCGGCCACGGUUUCGUGUGUUAGUGCUUUGUGUUCUGGCCAUCCUUCCAAUCGCUGCGCACCUUUCUUCAUUGAUGGGUGUGUGGUAUUGGAUCUUUUACUUUGAAAAAAUUAGAGUGUUUCAAGCAGGCUUUAUGCUAUGAAUACAUUAGCAUGGAAUAAUAAUUUAGGACUUUGGUCUUAUUUUGUUGGUUUCUAGGACUAAAGUAAUGAUUGAUAGGGACAGUUGGGGGUGCUAGUAUUCAGCGGCCAGAGGUGAAAUUCUUGGAUUCGCUGAAGACUAACUUAUGCGAAAGCAUU
rnacentral:rRNA from 1 species